AGCUGGGGCCGACCUUUCCGGCAGCAAGCACCGUCCUCCGAGCGCCCGAGCUGUUUGUUACCGAUCUCGCCCGCAGAAACGGGUGACUCGGGCCCGGGCCCGGCACUGGCACGUAGAGCGGGCUCCAUAGUAGUUGUUGAAUGAGCAGAGAGCUCGUGGCAACAGUCCCGGAGGCGGUGGGGGCAAGCCUCGGAACUCCCGGGGGUACGGGUCUUCUCGUCUGUAAGAUGAGAUUCCAUAUCACAGCUCCUCUAUCCUUAUCCACCAAAGCGUUGAGAAGGAGGAAGGUGAUGGGGGCUGGGAAAAGCCAAGGAAACAGAAUGGGUGACACCCAGCUUUAUGGAAGUUCUGUGUCAAACCGGAACCGAGUAAAAACGUUCCUGACGUGACUACAAGAGGAGGGAGCAGGAGAGAUGGAUGUCAGAGGUGAAAGGAGCCAAUGCUGGGGAAAACAGGAGAGACAGAAAAAGAUGGGCUUUUGUGUUUUUUUUAAUGGACGAUGAAACCACUGUAGUGCAUACUGGAAAGGAACAAUUAGAUAAAUGAAAGGCGGAUGGUGGACAGCAGGUUGAUCACGUGGGGGGGGGUGUCACAGGUAAACAAGAGGAGGAGGCUAGAAUGAGCCUGCGGUACCGGGUUAUAGUUGGAGACAUCUAUGCUACCUCUAUGAAGCCACGAUGAGCUUGGUAUAGACUGAGAUGGAGAGAGAAAAAGACGUACAGAUAUCUGUAUAUAUGUGGGUUAGUAUACAUACAUGUAAUUUCCUUGCUGUGUCAGCUGAGUGGACUUAGAAAUAACCUCCAGGAACAAGGACUACGCCUCUGGCACUGAGCUCUUGUUUUUAACACCGUUCUCCAGUGAAAGGAGGUCUCCUUGGGGAAAUGAACUGCAGCAGAGAAUCUACAAGCUGCGCCUGGAGCAUCUUGUUCUGCCAGAAGCCCCAGGCAUGCUGGCCUUCGAGCACAUGCUGCGUUAUAUUAUUUACAUCACUCAUGUUUAAUGUCUUGCCCACGAGAUGAAGAGCUCCUUUGCAGCCAACGUGCCAGCAUCAGCAUGUCUCCCAUGUGCCUAGAACUGAGGUGCAAAGGUGUGAAGCAAAGACAUGGAGAAAGCCAGUGGGCAGACCCUGCAAGUUACCUACUCACCAUCUUUUCUCCUUACCGGAACCCAUCGGGCUUGCUGAAAAACGCCACUUCCCAGCUUCAGUGGUUUUGUGACAGGGUGCUGGCCGAUGAGGUGUAAGUGCAGAGGACUGGGCUGGGCUCACAAGAAGGAGCUUAGAUCCAGCGUGUGCAUACCCUUAGGGCCUCGUCCUCUCUGGAACACAGACGAGAUGCUAGAGGUGAAGAGGCCACAGUGUGACUCUGAGAGGGUGAACAUGAGGACAGAAGCACAUGGAACAGAUGACUUGGGGAGCUGCCCACAUCCAGACUCCUUGUUACACAAAAACACACGAGAAAAAGAAAACUCUGAGUUAGUUAAGUUGAAUGUUCAGUUUCGUGCCUCCGAAUCAGCGCCUAAAAGAUAGACUAACCACAGCUCGUCUAAGAGAGCUAAGUGCUUCUCACAUUUUUCCACCAAAGAAACUGGAGAUGGAGGAGGGUGAAGAGGAUGGCGCAAGUUACAUCCUGGAGAAUCUUGUGCAGAGCCCAAGCAGCCCCGUAAGACUAACAUGUCCUUGAAAUUGCUGGCUUUUUCUUAGAAAUGCAUGUGAGUUUUUCCUUCUUAUAAUCGGUAUUUAUUUUAAUACAUGGUUAAUGUCUUAAUUUA